AGCUCGGUUAAUAAUAUUGCUCAGGGGCGUCUCGAGUCAAUUCCAUGGGGGGCAACAAUUUUUACUCUUGAAUACCACCGCUUUAGUCAACAAAAACUUAAAACCUUUAUGUCUGAUGUCAUUUCAACUUAUAUUAGUUUUAAAGACUGCAGAUAUAUUAUACAAAUGCAGUAAAACAGUACAAUUUAAAAGUUAAAUUAAUUUUUUUCACAUUAAAUAAAUAAUAAUUAAAAUAAUGAUAAUAUGAAUAACAAAAAUAAUAAUAAUAAUAUUAAUUAUUAUUAAUAAAAGUUAGAUGACUUAGUCUAUAAUACUUUUAUUUUUAGCAUUUUCAAUCGGUUUGAUCAACAAUAUUUGCUGUAUAAAUGUUUUCAUUUCGAUAAAUAUUUAAAAGUAAUAAGCCAGUUAGCCUCUGCUCAGAAAAUAUUUUUUUCACCACAGUAUGACUUCUAAUGAAACUUAUGUUAAAUUCCCAAGCAUUUCUAUUUGGUCUGGCAAUUUUAUUCACAGAGUACCUACUGAAUAAAAAUUACAUACAAAACUUGCAAAAUUAAAAUUUCUAUAAAUUGCUCAAAAAUUUAACCACAUCAAGAAAAAGCAAAUAUAAGUUUUCUAUCCAAAUUUGAAACCUCUACGAAUAUUUUAAAUUGAAUUACAACAAAAAACAAAAUUGAAAAUAAUAAAAGCAUUAUUUUUGUACAUUUUUUCGUUUUUCUUACGUUUUAUUCAGUUUUCUUGAAUUAGGGAAACUGCUUAGAAAAUCAAAACAUAACCUUCCUAAAGUAUCAUCUAGUCAAUAUGACAAUAUUUUCUUUCAAAAAAGGUGCUACACUUAUAUAUUGAAACAAAAUUGCUGGUAGAAUUUUUUGUCAGAGUAUUAAAAAGAAAAUAGAGCUGAUACUGGGGACGGGCGCGGCCACUGUUGUAAGUGAGAAUUUGGGAAGGCAUGAUACAUAAGGUUAUUUCAUUUAUAUCUGUAAGCAACGAUAAACCAUUGCUUGACGAAAUAGAAUUCCGAGUGUAGUUUGGUAAUACAUAAUUAGAAGAGCCGUAAAGUAAAUCCAAAGGCAACAAAAAUAGUAUUUUGUGAUUUUUUGAUUAAAUCAUUUUUUCUGGUAGAAAACAUCAUCCCUAUUUUUAUAAAAUAAUGAAUUCAUGAAUUUGUAAGUUUUCUUGCGAUUUUUCCCAUUUAAGUUCUUUUAUUUAAAAAUGGCGUCGAAAAUUAAAAAUGCCCUCCUUAAAGUACAAUAUAGACAACUUGAACUUUCAGAAAAGUUGCAACACGUAAAAAUUGAAGUAAGUUUUCUAGGAAUAAACGCAUCCACAGACUAGAACAAAGAAAGAAAGAAAAAAAAUAAACAUCUUAGUUAAAUCAAUAGCUUUCUUGCUACGCUUGGAAUCUGAAAAAAAUCAUUAUUGUAAAUCCAAUAGGUAUACACUUAAAAUCUAAAAUUUAAAUUAAAUUAAUCAUUUCUAAUGUGUAUUCUAAAAAAUAUAUUAUAUAGUCUUACAGUGUUCAAUCAAAGAAUUUCCAACCUUAUAGGGGGGGGGGCGAUCGCCCCCCUCGCCUCUCCUCAGGAACGCGCCUGGGUGACCACUGCUAUUGGUGACAAGUUAGGAAGGUACGAUGUAGAGGAGAAUUUAUUUCAUAUCUGUACGCAACGAUAAACUAUUGCUAACGAAAAACGAUUUGGAGCAAGAUUUCUUUUUCCAUUUUCCCAAUUAUUAAGAAAACCGCUUGGAAUAUAACAAAUUGUCCAAGAUACCAACCAGAUAAAAGUUCCUUUCAGAAAAAGUUCUAUACUUGAAAAUCAGAGCAAGACUUCUAAUAGAAGAGUUGUUCACAGAAAAAUUAAAUUAAAUCAAUAAACAUCCUAGUAAAUGCAUAAAUUCAUUCUUCACUACGUUCCG